rnacentral:rRNA from 1 species
AGAGUUUGAUCCUGGCUCAGAACGAACGCUGGCGGCAGGCUUAACACAUGCAAGUCGAGCGCCCGCAAGGGGAGCGGCAGACGGGUGAGUAACGCGUGGGAAUCUACCUUUUGCUACGGAAUAACUCAGGGAAACUUGUGCUAAUACCGUAUGUGCCCUUCGGGGGAAAGAUUUAUCGGCAAAGGAUGAGCCCGCGUUGGAUUAGGUAGUUGGUGGGGUAAUGGCCUACCAAGCCGACGAUCCAUAGCUGGUCUGAGGGGAUGAUCAGCCACAUUGGGACUGAGACACGGCCCAAACUCCUACGGGAGGCAGCAGUGGGGAAUAUUGGACAAUGGGCGCAAGCCUGAUCCAGCCAUGCCGCGUGAGUGAUGAAGGCCCUAGGGUUGUAAAGCUCUUUCACCGGUGAAGAUAAUGACGGUAACCGGAGAAGAAGCCCCGGCUAACUUCGUG